UAGGGAAUUUUCCACAAUGGGCGAAAGCCUGAUGGAGCAACGCCGCGUGCAGGAUGAAGGCUUUCGGGUCGUAAACUGCUUUUAUGUGCGAAGAAUAUGACUGUAACACAUGAAUAAGGGUCGGCUAACUACGUGCCAGCAGCCGCGGUCAUACGUAGGACCCAAGCGUUAUUCGGAAUUACUGGGCGUAAAGAGUUGCGUAGGUGGCAAGUUAAGUGGGUAGUGAAAUCGUGUGGCUCAACCAUGCAGACAUUAUCUAAACUGGCUCGCUAGAGUAAGAUAGAGGUAACUGGAAUUCCAAGUGUAGGAGUGAAAUCCGUAGAUAUUUGGAGGAACACCGAUGGCGUAGGCAGGUUACUGGAUCUUUACUGACACUGAGGCACGAAAGCGUGGGGAGCAAACGGG
rnacentral:rRNA from 1 species